rnacentral:lncRNA from 1 species
GUGGUUCGCGGUGGUGACAGCUCCACUGAUUCUUAUAUAGUCCCACUCCCGUGUAUAGGGCAGGUAGAGCAACAUUAUUACAGGGGAGUGAUUGUUAUGUUUCUCAUCUUCCUUGAUAAUAUCACUAUGCAUGGGCGUAAUCUUGUCUCGCAAUGAUUGCUAAGUAUAAUUGCACUAACUAUGAUAUGCUAGACUUUAUAGUUAAGAAUAACUUAGGAAAUAUUCUUGUAGUUCAUCCUAAUUCCAUGCUAAUGACUUGCUAGAAUAUCUGUUGAGGUGCUUAUCAUUAUCAUAUGUGGCUAGUUAUGCAGAUCAGAAUAGUUAUCUUUGUCACCAUUCAUAUUUUAUUUAUAACGAUACCUGGAAUACUUCCCGGUUAAAAUGCUACAAUGGUAUUAAUCUAUGCGCCUAUAGAUCCCAUUUAUUAUUUAUCUAGAUGAGCAAUUGCAUAUUUUAAUACCGCGUCUCUCAUGUCAUGCUGGGGAUGACAACUUGGCUUAAGUGGCAUGAGGGAUAGGUGCGGCAUUUUUGGCGAUGUUAUCAAAAAUAGAAAACUAAGUCUACUUUUGUAAUGACGUUAAGAAUGCCCAACACCAGCAUCCAAUGCCUACAAUGUCUCCUUCGAGUGCAUGUGAACUUUGCUAGCAUCACCAAGCACCUAACACUAAACAGCGCACGACCUGUGUCUAGUGUGAAAACCUCGGAUGCACUGAUGCACCAUGCCACUCUAUGUUGUUCUAUCAGCACUGCAUCGAAUGCAGGUAGGUCUAGCAUCCAACACACUACCAACCUCAGCGUCCGACGAGUGUCCUCGACUUUGCCUCCUCUUUAACACCACCUAUGGUACAGUGGAAAAUAAGCAUUUCAUUUCCAUAAAAAUGCCGAAAGGGAGAGUGGAUCCCAAACCUCUCCCAAACUCUCAAACUUUACCACCUUUGCAAAUGUGCUAACACCACUAAGUGUACACCACCAUGUGCAUCUGUGUUUGUAUUUUCACAAAUAUUUUCUCAAAGGAGUUAGCCUCUCAACUUGCCAGGCCACAUGAUUCUAACACGUAUGCAAAGUUAGACUGCUUAAGUGACAAUAGAUGACUGAUAUACAAACAAGUUUGCCCGUCUUGAUAGUAUGGCCAUCUAUCCUAAACCCGGUCAUAAACUUCUCUACUCACCUAUGACUUGCGAAAUGAAAUGCCCUACAAAUAUAUCUUUGCCUUGUGCAUUCCAUUCUAUCUCCUUCGAUAUUGACACAAUACAUGCACCAACCAAUCACCAAAUGAUAUCAUUCACUUCAUAUCAUCACGUGACUGUAUUGGUUCAUCAAUCUUGACCUCACUUGCUCUUCACUGUUGCCUCGGUCUAUCGGUGUCAAGUCUUGCUCAAGCUUCACCGUCAUAUGUUAUCCCUUACUUUAAAGCCUCUAACUUGCCCUUUACACAUGCAAUUGGUCCAUCGAACCAAGCCUCAUCUUGAUGUUCUCCACCUUGGUCACAUGACUCCAUGUCAUGUUUCAUAUGCAAUGAUCUCCUUCAUCACAUAUUCACCUGUUGGACUAAUGUCUUGUAUAUCUCAAAUAAACAUAAUUAGUCCAUCUAAUGCUGUCACUCAAUUAGCAAAACCAAACAAGGACCUUUCACCUACUCUAGUGCCUGCAAAGUAAGAUGCCCGCCAUUCAGCUAGGCACCUACCUUGGUCAUGGACCAUCGUCCAACUUGGGUGAUCUGCUGCUUCACCUCAUGAUUGUGCCUAGCGGGGAUUUAAAAGGUGACCAUAUCUGGCCUCCAUUCACCACCUCCAGAUAGGUUGUGUUCUCGAAGAUGUCAUACUCAUACACCCUAGUCAUCCAUUGUGCGUCUUCCAACCACUUCACCGUUUUUAUGUCUAUUACAUAUGGAAUAAACAUAUUAUCAAUGAAUGUAUAUAUAAGGACAAAUUAUAUUAGCAUGCACAACUUGAAAUAUUUCAUACAAUUGAUGGGCUUAGGUUGAUACUUGGGACAGCCCUUUCCGACGAUGGCUAAAAUGGCACAUAGCCAUGGUGAAAACCUAGUGCCUGUUGGUGGGGAAGUGGUUCGGCGCCAUUCAUCAUAACUAAAAAAACUGAAAUAACAUUUCAUCAACAUAGAAUCACACAUUAUAAAUAUACCAUGCAAAAAUAUAUAUUAGGGAUUAUAUGACUUAAACAAUAAAUUCAUGCCAAGUAAACUUAAACAUCUUGCACAUAUUUUUGUCAAAGGAUUAUUAACUGUGAUGAAGAAAUAAUGUUGUCAACAAAGAUCUAGAAAACAACAACAAAUUCAUAAUCUAAAAAAUAUAAUCCACAUAUUUGUAUAUUCUAUGCUUAUUCACAAUAUUAAAAAUAUUAAAAUAAACAUAUUUGAAUAUUUCUAUACUUAUUCACAACCUCACAUACUUGAAUAUUUCAUAAUCUCAAAAACCAACCGCAUAUUUAUAAUCUACUCCAUCCAUUCCAAAUUAUAAGUCAUUCCAAGAAUCUUGAAGAGUCAAAGCAUCUUAAGUUUGACCAAAAUUAUAGAGAAAAGUACAAAGAUUUAUGUCAUUAAGUAGGUAUAUUAUUAAAAUAUAAUUGAUGAAUAAUCUAGUUAUACUUAGAUAGUUUCACAAAUAUUAUUAUCUUAUUACAUAAAUUUGGUCAAACUUAAAAUGUUUUGACUCUCUAAGAUUAUUGGAAUAUAAUUUAGGAUGGAGGGAGUAGAAAACAAAGAUAUACAAAAAACCAUAUGUAGUGAUGAAAAUAAAUCCACCACCAUUAUACAUAGUCUAAAAGCCACAUAUUUAAAUAUCUCUAUGCCUAGCAUCAAUGAAUCUACAUUAUUACCAUUGAAAGAUUUGAAGAUAAAGUAAUCUAAAAAAUAUUAAAAUCUAUAUAUUUGAAUAUUUCUAUCUUAUUCAUAAUCUGAAACAACCUCACAUACUUGAGUAUUUCAUAAUCUUAAAUACCAACCGCAUAAUUAUAAUAUAGAAAACAAAGAUAUACGAAAACCAUCAUAUAUUACCAAUGAAAAUAAAUGCACCACUAUUAUACAUAAUACAAACAAACCACGUAUUUAAAUAUCUCUAUGAUUAGCAUAAACCGAUCUACAUUAUUACCAAUUAAAGAUAUGAAGAUAAAGUUGUUAACCUUUGGAAGAUUUCGAGAUGAAGUCAGCGGUGUGCACAAUAACUUGUUCAAGAACAGGAGGAACACAAGCAGGUCCAAUCAGCAGCAGCUAGCGAUCGAUUUUGACCACCUAGUCUCGUCCUAGGUGGACAGUGCAUAUGUGCGGACCUUUAGUCUCAGUGUAGUCUACCAGGACUAAAUGGUCAACUCCGACUCCGGGUUGGCGCCACAAGUCGGGAUAAAAGGUCGGCUAGACCUUUGGUCCCGGUUGCUGGUGUCAACCGGGAUGGAAAGGUAACCUUUAGUCCCGGUUCCAGACAUAUAUCGGAACUAAAAGCCUCUAACUGAUAGUAUUGUGAAAAGUCUGCUGCACUAUCCAUUGGACAGGGGAUUCUAGUCCCGAUUGGAGUCACCAACUAGGACUAGAUUUCUUACUACUCCUAGGCUAAAAUCCUACCGAAACUAAACCUAAGAUGGAAAGUCUGUUCUGUACUCCCUCUAUACCCAUAAUGGAUGUCAUUUAGGACAACGACACGGUCUCCAAAGCCUAACUUUGACUCUCUUUUUUUACAAAAAUAUUUAAUAAAUAAGUUGUAUAUGUAUACUUUUAUGAAAGUAUUUUUCAAGGCAAAUCUAUUCAUAUGGUUUUCAUAUUUCCAAAUUCAACAACUUAAUAGUUAUUUAUGAUUUAAAUUUCUAAUGUUUGACCCAAAACUUUUUCAAAAUGACUUCCUUUAUGGUAUGAAGAAAGUAAUAGUGACAAUUGGGUCUCGCAAGACUGAGUUAUUUCGGUGCCAAAUACAUAAUUCUCUACAUACAGACGCCAACCAGGACUAAUCACCAUCAUUAGUUUAUUUUUUUGUUCUGGCUCCUCAAGUUCUCUAUUUUUCAGUCGAUGUGCUCAACUAAAAGGACAAUGAAUGGACUCUGUUUUUUCUCCUUCCCGGUCUUUGACAAGGCACAACUGGACCCUCAGCAUGCACCACGCCCUCUAGUGUAACACUCUAAAAUUUGCAACCUUUGAAAUAAAAUUAAAAUGAUUUAAUUUUGUAUUUUUAUGCUCAUAAAACAUAGAAAAAUAAUAUUUAUUUUCUAAAUUAAAUUUAUUAUAUAGGAUGUAGAAACAUGUUUGAGUUGCAUUUGAUUUAUUGUACUGAGUGUUUGAUCCAAAAUUCAAAAUAUUUGAAACUAUGUUUGAAACUGGCUUUAAAAUAAAAAAGAAAAUAUCCCUCUCUUUUUGGCCCGAAGGCCCAGCCCAGCAGCAAGUUGAAGCCACGCACCGUAUAAGCUGAGACCGCUGCACCCUGUUUUCCCUCUUCACGUUGUUUUUGCCCUAGCUAGCUCGCCGCCUUGCAUUGAUUUCGCCGAAUAGAGCAGGAGACAUCCGCCGCAGUCGUUAAAUUCAUCUGCAAGUUGAUGUUUCCCUGUUCGAUGAUUUCAUCUGCCGGCUCCUAUGCAGAGUCGGAAUCAUCCUUGUAGCCGAGUUCAAGUCGAAGGGCAUCUAUCGCCGAGUCCCAUCUACAAACUACUGCCACCAUUGUUGUUUGCUUUCCGUUUGUUCAUCCGCCGCUGCCAAACGUUCUAGUGCAGGAGGCACCGACCAUCCCCGUGGGCUUCGUUCUGUCUCUAUCCGUUUUCAGGACGCUAAGAUCUCCGUGGUGGGUUCGUAAACACAUGACAAUGCACAAGCAAGCAUAGUAGAGUUGACGGCCGUGCAUGCUGUGCCUGUUCCAAUUAGCUUGAUGACAUCACCAUGACAUCAAGCAAGUAUUAUUGCCAUUUUUCUUUAGAAGAGUAAAUCCAGAAAAUACAAUACAAAUACACUAGGUUGUUUGGCCGUAUUUUCUCCGUUUUAACUCUGUUCUGAUCCAUUCAAGUUGUAUGACAUUCAUAACAACGUAAUCUAUGCAUUAUUAUUAAUGUUUUAUCAUGUCACAUGUUUAUGAGUUUAUUAAUUAAUUUAAAUGCUAAAUUGAUUAUCCAAUUUAUGAAAAAGGCAUAUAGCUUUCAUACCUUAGUAGUUUAUAAAUAAAAUAUUGUUUGUGACUAGUUGCUUAUAAUAAUGUGUUUCUAAAUUCUAAGUUGCUUAAUUUAAAUACAUUAUAUAUGUGAUCAUAUAUUUUUUCUUUUGAAAAAAAUAAAGUUUAACCUGAUUAAAUUAUAUGAUACUGUUUAUAGAUAAAAUAAGAUUAGUUUUAGCCCAGCUUUUGAAUUAAAUUGUAUUUUGACUAAUCUGGUCCAAAUAACUUCUCACGUGGUUUUACUCAAUUAAAAUAAAUGAAACUCAUAGUCUCUUUUCUCUAACAAAGUAAAUCUUUCGGUAGCCAUUUCUUGUUCACCGUAACUCCAAUUAGCAUGUUUUCACGUCUGUGUGAUCGCAUUGUGUGGAUGAUUCGUGAUCGAGUUUAGACGGUGAGCAAUAUUUCAGUGAUCGAUAUCCGUACCUUGAUGACCAGUAGGAGCAAUUGGAUGAAGGAAACUAUAGCAUUUGAGUUUUCUUUCUAUAACCAUGAUCUUGUGACUUGAUUAAUGUUUGAGCAACAAAUAAUAAAAAAUAACUUUUUAGCAAUUUGAGGUUUUGUCUGUAAGUGAUCACCGGGAUAACAGUGCAACCAUGAGGGCUAUAAUGGCUCUGGCUUUAGCUCAGUAUGAAGAUCUUUUCUAGCUUGUUAGAGGUUACCCGUAAGGGCGUUAGUGGGGCCUAUCGUUUUGGGUAUAGUGCGGCCUCUGUCCUUAUGUGUAUAGGCUACACGUCAUUAUGCCAUUUAGAAGGGGGCUCUACAUCUACACACCAAUUGGAAACCUUGCGGCCCUAACUUAUUAGACAAACUUUUGAAAGGCUUCAUAGUGAUCCCUGCCGACCUCCCUUGGAAGGGGGUUAAGAGAUUAGCUACCUCAGGCGAAAGGGUAAAUCAUGACUCAUGGGUAAAGAUGUACAACCUCUGCAGAGUGUUUAAACUGGCAUACUAGCCGUGCUCACGGUCAAGAGCGGCCUUGGGGAUUCUUACACUAAGGGUGAUGAUUCUUGUUGUGUCAAGAUACUCAUUACUUAUUGUUUAAUGCUUUACAUUAUUUAUGUUACAUUGAUCAUGAGAUUGUGGGAUCUAUACAAUCUUGUUGGUAUACUUGUGGAGUUCAAUAUAGACUCACUCUUCCUAUUUCCUCCAUACAUUAGGAGGAGUGUUAGGCUUGUGAUCAACCAAUCAGUUUGGAUCCUGUAGAGAGAAGUUAAUACCUGAAGUUUGGAGUUAUCUUCUGUUGUUUAAUGCCUAAGAUUAUCUCUGAUUUUAUUAUAUAUGUUAUAUAAUUUAUGCAUUGUCUUUUGAUAUUAUCCCUUAUUUGUAGCUAUAUUGUGAGAUUUGACUUCUAAGAUUCACAUAUGGUAUACAGAUGGUUUAUACUUAAAAUCGAGUAUUACAUCUAGCCUAAAGAGGUUAAUUCUACUCUAAUUAUUAGUACCCAUGGAAGUUUUAUUGGUAAUCGAAUUAUCACUAGCAAUGAACAUUGAAUAAGUAGGUGGCAUAGCAGAUUUAGAUCAUUUUAAACUCAUUAUGUUCAGCUUUGAAUAUAUUCUAUCAAUCAUGUCCACAUAUUUGUUAGCUUCCUUUAGCGAGGAUUGAAGAAAAAAGAAAUUUCUUGUCAGGCAUGCUUUUGAAUAUAAUCUAUCAAAUCAUUUCCACACAUUUGGUCAUCUUUUUAACAAAAAUAAUACAUGUGGUAUAUUGGUAUUGUAUAAUACUUACUACUUUAUACUUAACCGGUUUAUUGCUAUAUUAACAAUGUCAAUAUUUACCAUGUGUGACUGAGUUUAGAAAAAAAUGAUAUCAUAAAUAAUGAUCUAUAAGGAUACUCCCUCCAUUAAAUUUUAUCUAGCGCACACACAUAUCAAGAUUCAAACUUUUAUUACUUUGACCAUUAAUUAGACUAAUAAUUAUUAACUAUUCUAACACAAACUUUAUAUAAUUAGAUUUGUAAUGAAUUAGGUUAAUCUCAAUGCAUGUUUUAUGAGACUGUCAUGCAUAUUAAAUAGGGUGUCACAUAAGUAAAAUUGCUGACUUGGCAAGGUCACUAAAUGAAGGAGUUUCAUCCCCAUAAAACUCAUGUGGCUCGGUUACCUAGUUUAUAGUCUUGGUAACUAUGACAUGAAACUAUGCAUUGAGACUGACCUUAUACUUUUAUAAGCAUAAAUAAUAUGAUAUAAAUUAAAUCAUUAGUCAAAAUGCAAUCUAGAAGACCAUGUCAUUCUAACCUGCACCUGAUAAAACAGACGAGAGGGAGUAUAACAUAACAUGUUAAUUUCUGCAAAUAUAAACUGAGUAGUGGUAGCUGGUAAGCCACUCCUUCCUGUUCCACGGGCUCCUGGAUCUGGAUGGCUAGAUGCUUCUCCAGGUCGCGUGUUUGUUUAGUCCCAAUUUCUUAGCAACAAUUUUUCACCUUUUCUUUUCCAUGCCCAGCAAGUUGAAGGGUGUCUAACUUAUAAACAUGUAAAAUUUCUUUUGGUUACGGCUAGAUCUAUGCCCUCACAGAUCCGUUUUCUGUUUGUAUAUGCUGAUCUGCCGUAAUUUUUUUAGGUUGAGAAGCAUACUCACAGGACCAGAUUGGAAUGGCAAGGGAAGUGAAGAGGGCUGUGACAUUCACGACAUGUAUUACUGAGAUGGCUUGCUAAAAGCUCGCCUGCUGUACUUUCUUUUUUCCUGUACUUCUGUGACUAUGCGGUUCCAUUUUGUAGACGUCAAUAUGGUUAGAUGCUUGCUGCCCUACAUCACUUUAUUUUGUUAUUUGACUAUGAUAUGGUUCUCAUUUUGGACAUGACAGGAUGAUGACUUACUGGUUGCUGCAGUUCAUGGCUUCGAGAGUCUGAAUCAGAAUGCAAGUAAAGUAGUAUUAGUUCAGCUUAUUAAGACCAUGCUGAUGUUAUGUAUGUUGCAAGUAAUUUAGUCUUUGUGAUAUAUUUGUUAACUUGUUAAUGGCUAAACUACUGAAUUUUUGCUAUUGUUUGGGUGCACGUGCAUUGUAUAUAUUGCUUAUGAUUUUUUAGUUGUGCCUCACUAGUCACUGCAUUGUAUAUAUGUAUACUACUUAACCACUUUCUUGUUUUGGAACCACUUGAAAGCUAACCACCACUAGAACACUGAGCUGCGCCAACCUGAUGAAAUGCAAAUGAUCUAAUGAUGAUAUGACUGAUCUAUUUAUGUUCUGUGACUGUGAGCCCAAAAAUGUGUGUGUGUGUGUGUGUGCGCGCGCCAUGUUCUGCUUCUUUUAAGUACUUUGAGUUGGAACGUGGGUUUCUGUGGAGCGAUCAAAUAAUUACUUUAAGUGAUACAUAGGUGGAGCGGCAGCAGGGGCCGGCGGAGUGGCAGGGUGUGCCCCUCUCACGGAGGCCGCGUGGGGUCAGCGGGGCCGAGGCGAGGGCGGCCGGCCACGCGCGCGGUGCGGCACGCAGGUUCGCCUAGGCAUGGCGCGGGUGGACGCCGUGCGCGGACCCGCAGCUCGGCUGCUUCGUCUUUGGGCUACGAGGGCUUCUGACAGAGACAGCAGACAAACCAUGACACUAAAGGUGAGGAGGCCAAAGAACCCCGUUUCAAACUCGAUUUGAGCCAUGGCUGCAUCAACAGCUUUGCCUUCGAAGGUUGAAUAAGAUUAAUCGGCCAUCUCGGCAAUUAUUCCAGUAGACAAACACUUAAAAGCAAAAGGAAUAUUACAAGGAGGAGGAGGAGGAGGAGGAGGAGGAGGGGAAAAGGGGAAGGGAGGGAGCCGGCCCACCUGCCCUGCCGCUGGCGAGGUCGCCGGGAUGGAGCAGGGGACCGGCGACGGAUGGUGGAAGAAGCUGCUAGGAGAGGGAGGAAGGAAGCUUACGCACGAAGGCGUCGGGGAUACGGCAGACGCCCAUACUACAGAGAGCAGACUUGCCUUGCCGGACAUUGAUUCCGACCAAUUAACUUGGUUGAAAAAAAGAACCCACAUCAUUUAGGCCAAAUGGGCUAAAUUCUAUUUUACCAUUAUGAAUUUGAUGACAACAUGUGUUGCCAUAUAUAUGAACCUCAACACUACCAUGUCAUCAUCCACAUGGCAUGUAGCCCCUUAUUCAGCGUGUUGUGACAUUUUUAUGGUGAUUAUAUGAAACAAGGGUUAAUGAUAAAAAUAAAAUCAUCUCUAUAUCAAUUGCACUUCACUCUAUUUAAUGAUGCACCUUUUAUGAUGUUUUUCCACCGAAGUAUCCUACAAGGUAUAUUGUGACAACUUCCCUAUCCUUGUGAAUGUUUUUGAACAUUAUAGAAAACAAGAUCUCUUGUAGUGUAAUGCAAGAGGUCUUCUCCUUGGUCAAACCCCUACAAAUGUGGCUCCUAGGAGAGUGGUGACCUCCUCCUCCAUUUUCUUAAGAUGGAUAUCGCCGUGGUUGGCUGGCAUUGAUCCUGGCUGGCGAUAAAUGAAAUACCCUGAUUCAUUAGUAGCAUGUAGUAGUUGGCCCAAGUGUUCCUUGUGUGGUUGUAGUUGGUGCAUUUAUCAGAACCUUAUAAGUAUAUAGGACAAUAAGUGCCAGCUACAAUCCUUAUCACUCCAAAUGUAGUACCACAAGAUUAACCCAUUUACACAAAGCGAGGACAAAGUGCAAGCUUGUCACACCCAUAUUUUAAGAACAAAAUAGGAUGCAUAAAAGACUCAUAUGUGCCCCAGGAAUAGUCGCACACAUAAGUAGACAAAUCUCAAAUGUACCAUUGCAGUGUUUAUUACAUAGCGGAACAUAAUAAUCCAUGUAGUCUCAUACAAAAAUGAUAGCAUAAAGUAAGCAACGCUCUCGACGGAAGCUCCACACAGGGACACUGUUGACUGGUUGACUCCAAACCUAGUACUCAUACCGAUAAUCCUCAUUCCAGACAUCUUCAUUAUCAUACCCUGAGGUGUUGGGAAAUUGCAAGAGUGAGCACAUAUCGUACUCAACAAGUAUAACCAGGGGUUCAUGGGGCUCAAAUAGCUGACACUGGUUUGACUGCAUUUAGCUUUUAAUAGUUGAUAGCAUGUUUAAUCAUUGGAUAGCAAAUGUCAAGGUAGCAUAAUAAAUUCCAUAACCACAUGAUCAAUGUAUACAAGAAUUAAGAAUAACACAUAUAAACAACACAAUAAACCAUCAUUUAUUAUCAUUAUUCACGUUCAUCAGUGUCCAUCUAUUCCGUCAGUUUUCCGGGCCGCCCGUAUCCGUGGGCACGGCUAGUAUACCAGGUUUAACAUUCUGCAGAGGUUGUACAUCUUUACCCAUGAGUCAUGAUUUACCCUUUCGCCCGAGGUAGCUAGUCUCUUAACCACCUUCCAAGGGAGGUCGGCAGGGAUCACUAUGAAGUCUUUCAAAAGUUCGUCUAACAAGUUAGGGCCGCAAGGUUUCCUUUGCGCGCAGAUAUAGAGCCCCCCUUCCGAUGGCACAAUGACUCGCAGCCUAUACACAUACAGACAGAGGCCACACUAUACCCAAAACGGUUCAGCCCCUCUAGCGCCCUUUCGGGUAACCGCUAACAAGCUAGAAAAGGGCUUCAUACUGAGCUAAAGCCAGAGCCAUAAUAGCCCUCAUGGUUGCACUGUUAUCCCGGGUGAUCACGUACAGACAAGAUCUCGUACAGUUAUCAGUCAUUCUUUUAUGUUCAUUGCAUAGCUAUUAAUCAUCUUACAAGAUCAUGGAUUAAGUCAAGCACUAGCACAUCUACACCAAAUGCAUAUCAAGUAGGUAGCAAGGAAUACAGGUAACAAUCAUCUAUGAUUUUGCUAAGGUCGACAAGGUGAUAGCAUGCAUAUGAGAUAUAUGUGUACUUAAGUGAAUAGGUAACAAGGAUGAUCCCAAGUUAUACUUGCCUUGAUCAAAACUCUCCUGAGCCUGCUGGUCUUCAAAAACUUGAUCUUGCUCACCAACGUAUCGCUCACCGUCUAUACCCGAUCAUCAAUCAACAACACGCAAUCCAAUGUAGACAAUCAUACACGAAGCAAACAAGAUAUAAUUAGAACAAUACACCAAACAGUGGUAAAUAAAAGAUAAAAGUUUAUAAAAAAUAUUCUACGCAGCGCUACGAUCAUACAAACGUAAAGUUCACGAAAAUCGGAAUUAAAACGUAGAAGAUAUGAAUUUUCUAAGAUUUCCUAUAGGUAAAUAAUUAAUUAAAUGCUACUGCAGAAAUACAAAGUUUCAAAACAGUAAACUAAUAUUUCUAACAUGUAGAGCAUAUAAUUACGAACCUGACGCAAUUUGAAUGGAUAAAAACGGAGUUAAAACGAAUAUUUUAUGAGCAAAACAAAAUCAGUGGCAAUCUUGUAAAUAGCAGAAAAAGCAUUUUUUUUUCAACCGGCCGUCACCAGCUCCGGUGCGGUGGCUCCAUUGCCGGCCUAAAGGAGCUCGCCGGCGACGACGGACUUCUCGAUUCCGAGCACCGUUUCGCGAAAGGAAAACACCAGGAUGACGAACAGCUCACCGCGAACUUAUUGGAACCCUUUGCUUGACCCGGGAGGUGAUGAAAACAGCUCGCGGCGCGCGGCGGAGGACUUGGCUCUCGGCGAGAUGCGAAACCGCUCGGUUUUAGGUGGCUAAGGCUUGGCUUCGCGUUUUAGAUGCAAAAGGGGUUCGCUGCGGUGCUAGGGAGCUUUAUAGGGCGCCGAGGAAACGAUUUUGGGAAGAAAUCCCGACUUCCCGCGAUUAGUUUUGGCUUCGCGGUUGGUGUCUGCUCGGUGACGCUCGCGAAGAUGAACAGGACACUGCGCUGCGGGGCCAGGCUGCCAGUCACAGAAAGGAGGGGAUCAGCGCGCGGGCUUCCUGGGCCGCGCUGGGCCGAGGCGAGGGGGAAGGGGAUGCUCGGGCUGCGGCCUGGGAGGCUUCCUUUCUUUUUUUUCCUAUUUCCAAUUUCUUUUCUGUUUUGUUUUAUUCUCUUUUUUUUUUCAAAGCCUUUUUCAAAAAGGAUUUUGAGGACAAUUAAAUAUAAACCAAAUACAAUCACCACAAAAUAAAAUAUGUCUCAGCAUGAAUGCACAAAAUCAUGUUACUAAGCUUAUGAUAAAUUUUAAAUUUCCACAAAAAAUGUUUAUUUGCUACAUUAAAUGCUCACUAAAAUUCUUAAAUAAUUCAAAUUAAAUCCUAUUAAUUGAAAUUCAAAUUUUAGGUGUUACAAAGCUAGAGAGAUUCCCUAGUAUGCAAGCUGGUUACAUGUGAGGUGCUUGGUUGUAAGUAGAUUUUGGACUUGAAGUAAUAUAAUUUACUCAUUUAAACGGCGAUGUACCUACAUGGGUGGGAGUGGAUGGGAAUAAUAAUGAAACUAUUGGUCAAUGAAAAUGGGGUGGCAUGUCCCCCUUUCUAGAGGGGGUGGUGAGAAUUUUGUUUUGUCAAUUUCCAGAAAUAUCAAAAGGAGAUUGUUGGAUCCCAUGAUUACCAUCUCCAUCCCCAUACAACAAUUUAUAGGGGAAGAUGGAAUAAGGCAAUACAUUAUCCUUUAUAUAUUGAGUUCUUGGUUAACAAAUAACAUGAUAGAUAGUCCCAUACAACAGUUCGAUUCCUUCAUUUUUCACUGUCUUUGUGCUCCUCUCGUCAAAUGAAGCUUAGAAUUCGAGGAACAUCAGCAUGCUUGAUAGGCUUUAUGAUGUAGUCCUUUGCUCCACCAUCCAAGCACCUGUAUAUCAUAAAUAUAAUUUGCAAUAUUAGGCACUCAUGCGGAAUGUGUAAUCAACUAAAUUACAAAUAAUUUUGCAUUUACUUACUUCUUAACUACUUCAGGACUUUUGUCAAAUGAGGUAAUCACCACUGGGAGGUGGCUCAACUUAGGUGAUUUCUAAGUGGGAGAAAACAUAAAUGUUUUAGCUAUUGUAGAGAAUUAUUUUUGAGAUACUCAAAGACACUACAGAGAAAAUAUAUUGUAGCAGUAAGGAAAUCCAAUGGCAAGAAUGCUUAAAGUCUUCUUUUUUCUAAAAGGAAAUGAGUGGUGUACCUUCAUCUCCAUCAGUAGGUCAUAUCCAGUCAUAUUUGGCAUCCAAUAAUUAGAUAGAAUUAGCUUCACAUUGUGUUCCUGUGAAAAAAAAUCAUACACAUAAAUAAAUUCACUUGAACCAAGAGAUUGUAUUAUACCAAGAGAUACAAAACUUUGUAAAACUAAAGAUGUACCGCAUUCAGGAGCUCUAACGCUUGCAGAGGACCUUGAACAGCAAUCACUAAAACAAAUCAAUCAUCAUAUCACUUAGGCCACUAAAAAGAACAAUUGCAUAGUUGUACAUGAACUAUAUAUGAAGUACCCCAAAAAUCACAGAUAUAUAUGGCUUUCAAAAAAUGGUUCUAACUUCUUUUUAAUUAUUAUUUCAAGUUGAAUCUAAUGAAACCAAAUAAAAGAAACGCUAUGGGAGAAUGUAAGUACUUUUGAAUUUUUUUUGCGUGACAACAUGUACAGUAGGUUUGAGAGAGGUAUCCCUUUAAAGAUUUUUUUCCACAACAAAAGUAGAAGUCCAUAAUAACAUAUAUAUAUAUACCUUGAACAUUAUGGCCUCUUAAGAGAUAAGAUGUAACAAAGUAGUCAACUUGGCAAUUUUCAACUAUUAGCACCCAAGGAGAAUUAUUAGUGAUGGUAGUCAUCACACUUUUCCCCUUUGGAUCAUUUCCAUUAUUAGAGGUCGACAUCACAAACCUCUGAGGUAAGUUGUUCAUGUGAUGCUAUUGAGGAAUAUGAGACUCCGCAUAUGUAUUUAUAACAUAACUCGAUACCAUAGGAUAUGCUUGUCAUAUAAAUAAAUGAACUAAAGCGGUGAAGCUAGAUAGGCUUCAAUCUCUAUCUCUAGCAGGACUUGUAGCGAUGGUGAUGACAAGAUAAAGAUGUAGUCCAUGGAUAGAUGUGAGAUCCAUCUAUCAUAUAUCGCAAUACAAAAGAUAUAGCUUGCAAAAAUUUGAGACAUUGUAUAACAUAUAAAAUUUAGGAGCCAUCAUUUUUAUUUAAUAAAUUAUUUCACAGUUUCUUAAAUUUACCACAUCAUUGUAUAUGUGUUGUUACUAUAUCACGAUGAAGCACAAACAUCAUAUUUAAUGAACACACCAUUUUCCCCUUGUUUCAUUAUAAUACCAAGCAGGAGAUGUAAGUAUAGUAUCGGAAGCCUUUGUCUUAGGGUGGCACACUAAUUUUGACAAACACUAUUUCAUAUAAUGUCUUUCUUUGAAGUACCAAAUGGUAUUCUUAAGAAGUUAGACUUGAAUAGGAUAGGGAUUUAUAGAUAUGGACAACUAGAAGGAAGUCAUACAUCGAAUAACUAUCUUAAAGAGUACAAACAGAGGGGUUUACUUAUUAUUACAUUACCACUUGAUGGAAUCACUUAGAUCACACAACAUCUAGCAUAGCAUCAGAAAGUGCAUCAGCGAGCGUAGACUCCAUCUCCUUAGGCAAUCUUGAGCAUAGGACAAGACCUAUAAUCCUCCCAACCAUUGCCUUAGUAGUCAUACAAAGGCUCAUGACCUACCAAAUAAUUAUCAAUAUGAUUUGUAUUGGCCACUGGCUCCCACGCUUUGCUUUGUGUUUGCUUCUCUAUGGAUAUUAUGGCAUGUGGGGUAAUUCUUAUGUCUAUUAAGUUAUUCCGCAAGCGCACAGAAUGUACAUUUGUAGCGCUUCACUAAGGAUGAGUAUUCCAAGGUAUCCUUGUUUGUUUUAUACUAAGGGAAAGCGAUAGCUAGGAAUAUUUAAUAAAAGGGGGGUGAGAUCCUUAUGUCUACUACAAUAUAGUAUCAAAUAGUGAAGAAGGGGGUAAACAAAUUACAAGAAGGAUAGGUAAAUGUGAUAGCAAAGAGUCUAAUCUAAAGAUAAUUAAUAUAGUGUUAGCUAGGUGUGACGACAAUGAGUGACUUUAGGACUUGUAUUUAUCUAACUUUACUUCUAUGAACUUAAUCUUAACAAAUACCUGGCAUAACUAGAUUGCUGCCUUGCUACUUGCGUGCGACGGAUAGCCGAGACAGUAGAAGACAAAACCUCUACUAAAGUGACUACUUGGCUUAUGGAUGCCUUGCCUUUUAAGAACUAGCCCGAACAUGGUCGGAAACCUAUGAAGCUAGGUACAAUCUAUCACCUCUUGCUAGCACCCACGAAUUGUCCAUGCAGACCAGCGACAAUCAAAGGUAAGACUAAGUAUGAGCACCAUGCUCAUACUUACUCUCACAACUCUAGCUAAUGCGUAGAUAGCUAAAGCUCCUAUGAAGAGAUAGGACAAUGAUGCAAACAUAAGGAGGUGUUAUAGGAAACUAGUCUAACUAGGACAACUGUAUUGCUAAGACAAGUGCACAACAAGACUAUAAUGAAUAUAGACUUGGAAUAAGUGAACAUAAGUAAAGUAAAGUAAGAAUAAUAUAUUGAUAAGGGAAAAGUCUUACAAAAAAGAUAAGGUACAAGAAAUAUACAGACUCUCCAGAAGACGACUCUAGAGACCCCGAGCUUCGCUCAACUAAACUCUAACUCCAACUCUAGACUAACUACUACUACUCUUGCUACUUGAUCUCCCAAUAUAUGGAGACUUGAUGCGAACACAAGGUCGAGAAGUACCCUUGUGGUUCGUUAUAUGAUGAGCGAUUGUCAACGUGAUCUAUGAAUAGGAUGAGUUGGUGACUAACAUCACCAUGGCAAAAGCUAUCUGUGCGACAUGUCUAUUGGCUUGUGGUGUGCAAGUGAGGAGCUUAGAGGCGGUGGUCGAUGGUGAGAAGGUCAAGUAGAGACGUGCCAUGCCGAUGGACCUGAGGCGGUGAAGGGUGGACGUGAGGCUUGGACCGAGGGACCAGGAGGCUGGGUGACCAACUGCGGUGGCUGCCACCUGGGGCGUCAACGAGUGCAAGUGUACAUGGGAGUGACCGUGUUGACCAAGUCAAGAUGGCGGAUGUGCGAGUCGAGCAAGGCUUAGGAGGACUUGGCGGGCCGACCAGUGGAGGGAAGCGAUGACACGUGUUGAGUGGUGGGGGAAGCAUAUGGAGUACGCUAGUCGUGGCGAGUUAUGUGGGUUUGGGCCUCAAAACACGGGCGGAGGUUCCGAGAAACGGAUGAUACGUGGCGGCACCGAGGAGUUAGCGUUGAGGCUAAGCUACCUCAUGAAGGGCACGGUGGCCGUCGGAUCUUGGUUUUGUCGAGUUGGACUAGAAUGUUCCUGUGGCUAGUUAGUUCGCUCAAAAAUAUCUAGGGGUAUUUGGGGAAUGUGUAAUAGGCCUAUAAAUAAGAGGGGGCUGCUCUUAACCCACCUCACCUCUUUCAUUUUCAUUUUCCAUCUUCCUUUUUAGGUUUUCUCUUCCUCUACUUUUCUUGAGUGGGAGAGGUCCACAAUUUGAGAGAAUUGUGUAUAAAAUCAUUUUGGCAGCGGGAAGGGUGGCCCUAACCACCUUGUGUCCUCCGGGAUUCAGUUUGUGAAUCAUGUUCUUCGUGUUCUUCGAGUUAUUCCCGAGUUCACCUUUUCCCCUUUUCUUUGGAGGCUCGAUUCUUUGUUUUGAGACCGUUUUGAUCUUAUUUUGUUGCCUUGAUUUGAUCUAUGACAUGAGUUGAGCCUUUCCAUCAAAGGAAUUCGUGUAAUUCCUCACGUGUUCGCAGAUCGGGUUCAAUCAUGGUCUAUGGUUGCAAAACUGGUGAUUUUCGGGUUUUUGUGAUUUCCUAUUGAUUGACUUGAUAUUGGGUGAUGAUCCUCUUGGAGUAGCCUACCAACUACGAGAUGAACCUCUCUGCAAAGUUUCAAGUCGAUCCGAGUUGAUUUGGUCGAGUUUUGGGCUUCAAAUCGAUUUUGUGAAAAUCUGCUCACAAAUACAACACGUGUCCGCUAUCAAUCCCGGACGUGUCCGGUAUUUUUAAUUUCGAGCUGAAAUUGUGCAGAGCCCUUGCCCUGCGGGUCUGGAAGCUAUGGUUAAAAUUUUAUAAUUUUUGGACACCGUUUGGUUGGGUUCUUGAUUUUUCUCUGAAGAUUGCUCUGUGCAGAAAUACCAGAUGCGUCCGGUCUCAAUACCAGACGUGUCUGGUAUUUCUAACCUUGGAAUUUUGAGCUGACAUUUUGUGGAGCCAUUCCCUUGGUGUCUAGAACCUAUAGUUAAAAUUUCACAUUUUUGGACAUUGUUUGAUAGGGUUUGUGAUUUUUCUCCCAAGGUUGCUUUGUGCAGAUUCAGCAUACCGGACAUGUCCGGUAUUCGCUGACUGCACUCAGUUCAGCAACAUCUCCGUUCUUGGUUCCGAAUUUUGCGAUGGGUUUCUACUGUUCCAAGGAACUUUUCUACGUACUCUUGUCAUAAGUUGACUUGGGUAUUUUAGAUUCGAUAACUCGUAUCUCUUUAAUAUGAGUUGAGUGUCUUUUCUUCUCUCCUUCGAUUCGGGAAAGUGAUUUCAGGACAGCGGUGAAAAGUUUGCAAGAAAUUUGAGGCUCCUAUCGCCCCCUCUCUGGUCGCCGGUUCUGGUCCUGGAAUUGGUAUCAGAGCCGGUUAAGGAUCACCUUAAUCGGUCUGUGAUCCACAAAAGCGACAUGGAGCAUGUUCGCAAACCGCCGUUUUUCAAUGGGACCAACUAUCCUUACUAGAAGAUUCGCAUGUCUGCGCAUCUCUAGGGGAUUGAUUGGCUUGUCUGGGAGAUUUGCGGGGAUGCUACCUUCAUUGUGCUUGAACUCUGUGCUUAGAUCAUGCAAGAUCAAAAAGAUCGGCACAACACAAAUAGUAGAGCAAGAGCUGUUCUUUUCUUAAGUCUUUCACUUCCUGAUUUUGAGCAUGUCUGUGAUUGUACUACUGCUCGAGAGAUCUAGGUGAGGCUUCAGAGCUAUCAUGAGGGUACAGCCCAUGUCAUAACCAUACUAUAUGAGACGUACAAGAGAGAGUACGAGAACUUCACUCAGCUUGAUGGAGAGUCCAUCGAUGCCAUGUUUUCUCACUUUCAGACGAUUAUCAACAAGAUACGAACAAACAAGGCUCAGUUACCUUAUGACGAUCAUGAGAGGGCUCUCAAGCUUCUAUAUGCCCUAGAUCGAAAGGUAUGAGAUGUGAAGGUGUCCGCCAUUAUUGAGUCUUCGAACUAUGACACCAUCAUCGUGGAUGAGCUGUUCAGCAAGCUCAAGUCCACCGAGAUCGACUACCAGACCCAAGCAAAGCUCAAGAAUCCCUCUGCACCAACUAUGUCUUUGGUCUUAGGUAACAGUUCAAGUUCUUUAGCUAACCCUUCACAGAUGUCAUUUGCCUUGUCUUCUUUGGUGUCUAUCAUAAAGGAACAUUUGGAGACCCUUGGAGACGACGAGCUGGCAUUGAUCAUCAGCCAGUUCUCAUGGUUCCACAACAACCGCUUGAAUCGCCAUCGGGGUGGUGAUCAAAAUGUGGGCUGCUACAACUAUGGAGAUCCCGAUCACUUCGUCGUCCACUGCCCCAAGAAGAACAACUACUCCUCUAACAAGUACGACUCUAGCAAGCACAAGGACAAGCACAACUACAACUCCGGCAAGCAUAAGUCGAAUAAGGGAUUCGACAAGGAGGCACUCAAGAAGAUGUACCGUAAGAAAGCCAAGGCUCAAGAGCAUGCCUUCCUUGCUUCCCUAAGUGACCUUGACAGCGACUUUGGCGAUGACCAGUCCUCUUCUCCCUGAAGUGAUGAUGAGUUCGAGAGGAAGAUGGAGGAGAAGCUGACCGAUCUUUGCUCUAUUGCCGACUCUACUCACGAAGGCUUUUGCACCAUGGCGAUUGAUGAAGAGGUGAAGGCCAGCAAAGAUGAGGUCUCCUUUGACGACAACACCUUCGAGGUAUCUCCUUCUGUUGAUGCCUUAUCGCUGAGUUUGAUAGCAUGAAUGUCACCUUGACUAGUCAAGAUAAGUUGCUCAAGCAUGUUGCCUGUGAGAGGAAAGAGUUAAAGGAUAAACUAGAGUUAGCACUUAAGAAGCUUGAGGUCACUAAGAAGUGUGUUGUAGUUGUGUCAGAUGAAGUAGAGUGCGAUGAGUGUGCUAUUCAUAUGUCUAACUACUCUGAAUUGUAAUCUAAGUAUGCUUCUUUGCUUGAUGAGUAUGGUGAGCUAAAGGAUAGAUCUGUCUUUUUGGGUGCGUGUAAGUCUUGCUCAAGCUUGCAAUCUGAGCUGGUAGAGAAGAAUGCAAAGAUCUCUUUUCUUUCUAGGACAGUUCAGAUAGCACUGUUGCUAAGUGUGCACAUUGUGAGAGCUUAGUGCUAGAGCUGGAGUCUUGCAAGCAUCACAAGAUGAGAUCCGAUGAAGAAAACACAUACCUUCAGUCCAUCUUGAGUUGGGUGUCUAGCAGUGAGCCACAGUUGGGCAUGAUGAUGAGCCAGUUUAGGUAGAGAACUGGCACAUCAGGUGUAGGCUUUGCUAUAGGUGGGAAGGCUAAAAAUAUUUAUGGCAAGGUUGGUGAGUUUAGUGGUUUGAGCCUGAGUGAGAAACCAUCCACUACUCCUAAGUCGAUCAAAUGCACUCCACCUAAGCCUUCCAAACCCAAUGUCAAAGAUGGAGUGUUUGAAGAAUUGCCAAAAGCUCCACCUCAGAAAUUAAUAAGUGGUGAUUGCAAAACCUAACCAUCUCAGGAACCCACUUGACAUUCUACCCAACAUCUAUGACGAUCCCCUUCCUAAAGCUAAAAAGCCACAAAGAGUGAACCAUGCCGACAAGAGAGUGAGCCAACAACAACCCAAGACAAAGAUGUACCACUAUGAGUAUUGCCAUAGGGAUCACUAUGAGUAUUGCGAUAGGGAUGGUUACCUUGCUGAGCUUUGCUUUAGGAGGAAGAGAGAUGAGCAGUGAGAGUACAAGUUAAACAAUCAAAACAUGUACCACCUGCCUCAUGGCGUAGAUGUGCCGCCUGUUUAGAGGCUUAGUGCUAGGCCUAGAGGUGCAAUGCCUCAAGGUGCUAGGUCUUAGCUUGGGAGACCACAUGGUUGUCGUGCUCGGCAUAGUUUAGGUCAUGAUCAAUACGACUUUGAACCUCAUGACAGUGGCUUUGCUUCUCAGUCCCAUAGCUUUAUCGGACCAUGUUUUCCCUUUUGUGGUGAUCACUUUCCUCAAAUGGGACAUGACAUGCUUGGUGUUUUUCCUAACACUUUUUUAGGGAAAAUGAGCCAACACUGGUAUCCUUCACAGCUUACUAACACAAGUGUUGCGCUAUUUGCUCAUCCCAUGUCUUUCUAUUGAUGUAGAUCAGAGGCCUAGAGAACAUGUGGCUUGUUGAUUCUGGUUGUUCACGCCACAUGACUGGAAGUUCAAAAUGAUUCUCCAGCCUCGACCCCGUGCAAUGUAAGGAGGCAUCACAUUCGGGGAUAAUAGCAAACUUAAAGUGCUUUCUCGUGGGACCAUUCAUGUAAAUGAGAGUUUUGUCAUGAAGGAUGUUGCCUUGGUUUCAAAUUUGCAUUUUAAUUUGCUUUUCGUUUUGCAACUCCUUCAGGAUGGCUUUGUUGAUAUUUGGUAAAGCAAUCCGGAAAUGAUUUGCAAGCGCACGGAUAUCAGUGAGCACUUCACCCGGGAGGUUAUCUAAAGUAUCGUAUUUAUAUUUUGCCACUAGGAGAAAGCAUGCAUCUGACUAACCAAAUCUAUUACUACUAACCUUUAGGCUACAACCACUAUGAUUUGAUGUGAGUGAUGUAUAGAGAAGACUACAAUUGCACCAUCGUUCUAACCUUGGUAAGGAUGAUCUACUGUUCUAUUGGGGAGGCUUACCGAAUCUAGACAACACAGAGGAUGUUCGACCCGCACCUAUAAACCCUACCGAUCCUGUUAACUGGAUUAUGGGCUACAAAGGUAGCUACGGAAAUGUCACGUUCCUCGCUACUACCACGGUCCGGCUAGACAGGGGAUAUCUAUGAGUAUCCUUGCCCAAACACCACAUUUACACUAGAGAUGAUUACUCUAAACUCUACGCGAAGGGAUCAAAGUAAACUCAUAAACCGAAGAACAAUAAAACAAAGAACUUACUAGAAUUUAGAAGUCGAAAUACUGAAGAAUCCUAGGAGCAAGCCUCGGGUUAGGAGACUUGAUCCCGCAGGUACAACCUCGGAGUAGACACUGACAGGUCGGGCUUCCUCCGAUCUACACCUCCACUCUAUCUCUCUCAAUCGAGAAGAACUAAUUCUAAUCUCUCAUUGGAUGCAAAGCCCUAAGAGAUUGGAACCCUAGAGGGACCUCUUUCUCUCUGAAUCCUCUCUGGAAAAUAUGCUAAUGAAUAAUGGGAUUGCCCUCCUCCAGGGACCAGGGGCCUUGCUUAUAUAGCCCUCUCAAAUGCACUUGGGCCGUCGGAUCAAACCGACCAUAAUUGAACGGUUUUCCUUGAUCCUCAGAGGUGGUGGAGCAUAAUCCACGAGCCUCGUGCUGAUUGGCCACGAAAGGGGGGCAGGAGCCCUGGGGGGAGGGCGGGCGCCCUGCUGCUGGGCCCGCUCGGCCUCCCGCUCGUUCGUGUUGCUUCUGGACUCUUCUAGACCGAGGAAAAUUGGUGCACACGUUAAUAUCUCUAGUAAACCCGACUUUGGGCCUUUCCUCCAUAUUUCCUAAUAACCCCCUAUAGAAAUAGAUAAAUAGCAAAACUCGUGGAAUUCUGUAAGAUCAAACCCUAAUUUUAGGUGUUGCUUGCAUAUGGAUCCUUUUCCUUGUUUAUUUGAUGAUUAAAAUUAAUAUUUAAGGACCGUCAACAAACUCCCCUAUACUUAGGCUUUUACUCGUCCUCGAGAAAAGGAUGGUUUAGAAAAACAACUGGGGUUAAAACAUUGUAAAGCAUUCUUUUCAUACCUGCAGGGUGUUGUAAAAUGUCCACUGUGUAGUCAGGGAAUUAUAUUGUCUAAGUAGAGAUCCUUUCUUCUUCUCAACCCUGUCACUUGGAGUUUUUGUAUAUUUUUGAAAUGAAAACUUAGCAUACCUUUAUCCUCAUAGGUGCUCACAGAUCACUCAUUUAUCUUUCGUAUAUCUCACUGAGGUUGUUUUAAUUUGUAGAAAUUCUCAAGCUUACUUAACGUGCAUUUAUUGCUUAAUCAAAACGGGAUCCGAGGAGAGGAAUGCCAUACUCUUAGAUCAAAGACUUUGAAAAUUAAAAACUUAUCAACUCUUACUGGCAUACUGCUUAUUAGAGGGACCAUGGGCUAUCAUUUUCUUUUAUCAUAUUUUUAUCAUCUCAUAAAUUUUUUUCCUUAGGUGGAUACCAGGGUACCCCUAAUUCUACUGCUGGACACUUGUCCAUUUUUUCUGUGAGGUUUCCGAGCACUUGCUCCUUCGGAAUUCCUAUUUUUGCAUAGCCCAUGCUUCUAAUGCAAUAAUACUUCGGAAGAUUGAAUCUUUCUGAAUAAAAAUGUCUUGAUCUUAGGAGUAUGAUAAAUCUCUCAACAAGGGUCUAACUUGUUUUGAACAAACUCAAUACAAAGCAGAUUGCUUAAAUUAUCGUAAUUAAUAUUUUCAGGUUUAGCAGGCAUAUAAAACACUGAGGAUGGUAGCUAUAUUUUUAAAACUUUUUGAGAAUUCUCCAAGCGACAAAGAAAUCAAUAAUAAGGUACUCAUACUCUACCAUCUCAUAUUCCACAAUGACUUAAGUAACACAGAGUUUUAAAAUGAUUUUUCAAUAAUUGUAGGUUUUCAGGAGACAUGAUCAAGUGAGAUUGAUCAUGAUUAGAAAUAUUUUAUCUUUUUAAUUUAUCAUGUUUAGAGACAAUAUUCUGCACGAACCAAGAUGUAUAUGUAUGUGUAUAAAUAAAGCGUGCAAAGUAUGUACCUGAAUCGUGGAGAGGUGCGGUUGAAGUUCGUUGGACAUGUUAGGGGAUCUCCCCCAUACUUUUUUUCUGUUUUCUUGCAUAAAAACAAAGUGGAGACACACGAGUCAUAAUAACAAUGAAGCAAUCUUUACUUAUUCUCUUGAGGCAUUUAUUACAAUAAACCAACUAAUGAAUAAUAAAUCUAAUCUAAACCAAAUCUAAUCGAAUCUAAUAAUGAAUGACUAAGAUACAAGCCUCAAGAUCUAAUCUGAACAGCUCAGUGUCGCUCUACCUCCUUUGUUCUAUCAGUGGCCCUGGAAAGGUCGCAUCUAAGGUUGAGCAUAGUAGUGUUCAAGUUAGAGACCUGCCUAUUAAGAAAGUUAACCGAGGACUAGAGCUCCAUCAUUAGCUUGUGUGUCCCACGGACUUCCUUAUCUAAGUCGGCUAUAGUCUUACGGCGCUUAGGAGGUGUCUCAAAGGAGUUGUGGGCGUGCUUCGGAGCUUCCUUCGGUGGGAUGAAGCGAACGUUCGCUGCUCUGAUUCCCUCGAAGUAGGGCCUCUCUUCGUCCGUGGUGUAGCGGACGCUGCUGAUCUCGUCGCUCCUGUUGGUCUUGACGCCUACAACCCUCUCAUUGGGCUUGGGCGGCAGUACCCUCGUGUCGGCUAGCACCUUGACGAUCGCCUCCUGCUUAGCUGAUGGCCCCUUGAGAAGAAGGGGCUGCGGCGGUGCGGUGAGAACUGGUUGGGCGUAGUAGGAUUGGGUGGAGCUGUGCUGUCGUGUUGGCAUGGCUGCUAGCUGUCGCUCUGUGUUGGCUGGCACGAGCGCGUAGGCAUCUGGAUCUUCCUUAGGCUUCUUAUUAAGGUCGUAGGGAACGAUCUUCCAAUUGGGUUUGAACUCGUCGGCCAUUGGAGCAGCGAGAGACUAAGCAAGCUCUAAUUGAGGAAUGAAUGAAUGAAUGAAUGAAUGAAUGAAUUAGUGUUCAAAGCUGACGUUAGGGGUCUGUUUAUAUAGGGGUCAAAAGUGCCUCUAGAAUAUUCCACGGGAUAAAUCCCGCCACCAAAUUUGAAUAACAACCCAUCCGUAGGGUUUCUUUUGGAUAGAGAUGGGCGAGAUUAUCGUAACGGAAAAAACAGCAGUGAGAGGGGCCAGGGGCAGGGCGCCCGCCCUAAUGCCUAGGGCGCCCGCCCUGGGCCUACCUCCUCUGUCGGCCCGCUCGCUCGUGUUUGUUUCUAGAAGUAUUAUUAUCCUGAAAAAUAUAUACGUAGCCCAAAAACGACAGAUUAAAAAGUUUGGGCUCUAAUUCUCCAUUGGAAUGAAAAAAUGGAUCACGUCUAUUUCCUCUAAUUCUUUAUUGGGUUCUAAAAAUAAUUUAAGACGUUGACAAUUUACCUUGAAUAAUGUACCUUCGUCAUUUUGAAGUGUGAUAGCUCCGUGGGAUGAUGAAUGGAUUACCUUGUAUAGUCCUUCCCAUUUACUCUAGAGUUUUCCAUGCCCGAAAAACUUCACCCUGGAAUUAAAAAGUAAUACCUUAUCUCCGGGUAAUAACUCCUCUUGAUUCUCUUGUCAUGCCAUCUUUUGACUUUAUCUUUGUAGACCUUUGAAUUGUGAUAUGCUUUCUCUCCCCAUUUUUCUAAUUCUGAUAAUUGCAUCAUUCUAUGAUAUCCAGCAACAUCGAGGUCCAUAUUCCAUCUCAUUAUGACCCAGUGUGCUUUGAACUCUAGUUCAAUAGGUAGGUGGCAAGUCUUCCCAUACACCAAUUGGUAUGGAGACAUCCCAAUUGGGGUCUUGUAUGCUGUCCGGUGCAUCGGGUAACUUAUCCUUCCAUGCCGUUCCCAUCUCAUUUACUGUCUUCUGAAGAAUGUUCUUGAUUUGCUUGUUGGAAGUCUCUGCUUGGGCACUUGUCUAAGGAUGAUAUGGGGUAGCAACGUUGUGACAGAUUCCAUGUCUUUGAUAAAUAGUGCUCAAACCGUUUGUCGAUGAAAUGUGAUCCUCCAUCACUUAUCACCACUCUGGGGACUCCAAAUAUUGGAAAUAUGAUUUCUUCAAACAUCCUCUUUGAACUUUUGUUGUCAGCGUGCUUGCAUGGUAGUGCCUCUACCCACUUGGAGACAUAGUGAACCGCCACCAAGAUGAACUCACACUUCUUUGAUGGGGGAAAUUGACCCAUAUAGUCUAUUCCCCAGACAUCAAAGAGCUAUAUCUGAAGGUUGUUGGUGAGUGGCAUGGCAUCUCUUGUCUUUAUGUUACCAUGUCUUUGACAUGACCCACAUCUUCUGAUAUAUUGCUUCGUGUCUUCAUACAUUGUAGGCCUGUAGAAUCCACACUGCCAGAUCUUUGAAUGUGUACGGAAUGCUCCAUAGUGACCUCCAUAUGGUGAUGAAUGGCAUCUGUCAAUGAUCUUCCAUCCUUCCUCAGUGGUCACACAUCUCCUAAGUAAGCCAUCAGAGCAUACUUGGAAGAGGUAUGGCUCAUCCCAUAUGUGUGAACGACUUUCUUGAAUAAGCUUCUUCUUGUUCGCUCCUCAUGGUACAUACCCUGAAACCAUAAAAUUAACAAUAUCUGCAUACCAGGGGUCAGACCUGUUGAUUCCGUAGAGCAUGUCGUCCCGGAGUGAAUCAUUGAUGGGUGUUUCCUAUGGAUUCUUAAAGUGCAUUCUAGACAAGUGAUCAGCAACAGAAUUUUCUACUCCCUUUUUAUCUUUUAUUUCUAAGUCAAAUUCUUGGAGUAACAAGAUCUAUCUAAUUAAGCGAGUUUUAGCAUCUUUUUUAGUGACCAGAUAUUUUUGUGUAGCAUGAUCUGUGUAAACAAUUAUUUUAGCUCCAACCAAAUAAGAUCUAAAUUUAUCAAUGGCAAAGACAACAGCCAGAAGCUCUUUUUCAGUGGUUGCAUAAUUAAGUUGAGCUCCUGUCAAAGUUUUAUUGGCGUAAGCAAUUGCAUGAUGCUUCUUAUCUUUAGUUUGUCCCAAAACUACCCCCACAGCAUAAUCACUAGCAUCACACAUAAUUUUAAAAGGUAACGACCAAUCAGGGGGUUGAAUGAUUGGUGCAGAGAUGAGUGCAUUCUUUAAUAAUUCAAAAGCUAUUAGACAUGCAUCAUCAAAUUCGAAAGGAGCAUCGUUGGCUAGCAAAAGAGUGAGUGGUCUAGCAAUGAAUGAAAAAUCUUUUAUGAAUCUGUGAUAAAACCAGCAUGGCCAAGAAAGCUUCGAAUUCCUUUUACAUUAACAGGUGGAGGUAGUUGUUCAAUUACUCCAAUUUUAGCAUUGUCUACCUCAAUACCUCUUUCAGACACUAGGUGUCCCAACACUAUUCCUUCCCUAACCAUAAAAUGACAUUUUUCCCAAUUAAGGACUAAGUGCUUUUCUUCACAUCUUUGCAAAACCUUGUCUAAUUUUUCAAGACAAUUAUCAAAAGUUUUUCCAUAUAUAGAGAAAUCAUCCAUGAAAACUUCCAUAAUCUCUUCAAUCAUAUCAAAAAAUAUAGACAUCAUGCAUCUUUGAAAAGAAGCUGGUGCAUUACAUAGCCCAAAAGACAUUCUACGAUAUGCAUACGUUCUGUAAGGGCAUGUAAAAGUGGUUUUGCUUUGAUCAUCAGGAUGGAUCAGGAUCUAGUGGUACCAUGAAUAUCCAUCUAAGAAAGAGAAGAAUGAGUGGUUCGCUAACCACUCUAACAUCUCAUCUAUAAAGGGUAAAGGAAAGUGAUCCUUUUUCGUGGCUUUGUUUAGUUUUCUAUAGUCUAUGCACAUCCGCCAUCUUGUGAUGGUGCAUUGUGGAAUUAGCUCGUUCUUUUCAUUCAUGGCAACAUUCAUGCCUCCCUUCUUAGGCACAACUUGAACAGGGCUCACCCACUCACUAUGCGGCACAUGAUAUAUAAUCCCUACUUGCAGCAACUUUAUAACUUCCUUUUUAACUACUUCCCUCAUCAUGUUGUUAAGCCUACGUUGGGGCUCUUGAGAAGGUGAAACAGAAGGAUUUGUCGGAAUACGAUGAGUACAAAUCAUAGGACUGAUUCCUGUAAGAUCUUGUAGUGAGUAGCCAAAGACCGAAUGAUGUUUUUCUAGAAUAGUCAUUAAUCAUGGAGUUUGCUCCUGAGUGAGUUUAUCACUAAUGAUUAUAGGGAACUCUAGGUUAUUAUUUAGGAAAGCAUAGGUAAGAUCGGGUGGUAAAGGUUUAAGCUCUAUGGGAGGUCUAGGUGUUUCUGCAAACUCAUCUAAGGGUUCAGGUUCACAAGGUUCAGCCUCCUCUUCUAUGAAGAAAGGAGCUUCUUCUUCUUCUAACUCGGGUUCAUUUAAAAUCUCUAGAGACACAGCUUUUACCUCUUCCAUAGGAUCAGGCAAAAGAUAUGUUUCGGUCUUAUUAUUCAAAGAAUGAGAAAUUGUUAUCGGGAAUUUGAAAUUUUUUCCAAAAGAAAUGUGUAGCUUUCCAGUUUGACCUUCAUAAAGGAGUCUUCCAAAAGGUUGUCCUAUCAACAGGUCAAAGUCCCAUGUAUCAAAGAUAUAAAAGUUCAAAUGAACCAUGGAGCCUUCUACCAUAAAGGGUAGGGCAUUCAAAAUUCCAAGACUGGGGACUAAUCGUCCCGAAGAAUCCUUUAUGAACUUUGUUGUGGGGGUUAAAAUUAAUUUUGCAAAUAAUUUAUGUGCAAAAUCUUUAGACAUGAUGUUGAUCCCCACAACAGGAUUAUAGAGAGCAUCAAAUUGAUCAGAACUAUAAGCACACCGUAUAGGUAUAGGAGGUGUAUCCAAACGGAUCACUUCAGAGGAAAGCUCUGAUUCCUCCAACCAUUCGCUACUCAUGAUUGAAAUAAGCUCUCUUAAUUGAUAUCAUUUGGUAAACAAAUGCUAGAAUGACCGUUUUGGGGUUUGUCUAUAGAAUGGUAAUUUGAAAUGUUUCCAAAAUCGGCAAAAAGAUCAGAUUCUAUAUCCAACAUGAAAUCAGGUGGUGGAAUUACUUCCUUUUGUGGUUCAGAACUUGGGAUAGUUGAAACAGAUGAAAGAUUUGGUAGAGUGUCUACUUUGGCUUCAUAGGUUUCAUCAUGGAGGGUAUUAUCUAUCUCAGCUUCUAGGAUUCUGUCUAAGAUUGCCCUAGCUUCAUCAGUUGGGAUACCAAAGAAGGAACUUCUUGACAUUGUAUGCAGCAAUUGUUUAUGGUUUUUCUGAAGACCUGAAAAGAAAUGUAAAAGAAGAAUAGGGUCUUCAAUAUUAAGUUUUGGACCAAAUUCUAAAAGCUCAGAAAAAUACUUCUAGGAUUUACCCAAAGUUUUAUUUUCUUUUUGUUUAAAAGAUAGAACUUCGAGUCUAAGAUAGGUGAUACGGUCGAGGGAAUAAAAAUCUUGACAAAAGUUGGCUCGUAAAACUCGCAAUUCACCUUGUUGUUGACUUACCUUCUAUCUAUACCAUUGUCUAGCUUAUCCCCUUAAAGAAAAAGGAAAAAGUUUCCAACGUAAAGUUUUAUCAGAAAUGCCUUCAAUGCGAAGACAAUCGCAUGUUUGCUCAAAAUCUCUAAUAUGAAGGUAAGGGUUUUCAUCUUCCUUUCCCAAAAAAGAUAGGUUCUCAAUCAUGGCAAUUAACCUUGAACUUAACCUAUAGUGGGAUGUUUGGAUAAGCUGUGAUGACUCCCAUGGUGAAAGGUCAGUUUCUGAAGGUGUUGCAAAUUGAUAAAUCGAUUUAGAAUCUUGGUUUUCCAUAAGGUAAGAAUAAAGAAAUUAGAGAAUAUAAAAUGAUAAGAAAAGAUAAAAGUAUAAAUACAAGCUAGUAGCAAGACUCAAGGUUAUCUCAGCAAACUGUCUUUCUCCCCUGCAAUGGUGCCAGAAAUGCUUGUUGAUAUUUGGUAACGCAAUCAGGAAAUGAUCCGCAAGCGCAUGGAUAUCGGUGAGCACUUCACCUGGGAGGUUAUUCAGAGUAUCGUAUUUAUAUUUUACCACUAGGAGAAAGCGUGCAUCUGACUAACCAAAUCUAUUUCUACUAACCUUUAGGCUACAACCACUAUGAUUUGAUGUGAGCGAUGUAUAGAGAAGACUACAACUGCACCCUCGUUCUAACCUUGGUAAGGAUGAUCUACUAUUUUAUUGGGGAGGCUUACAGAAUCUAGACACCAUAGAGGAUGUUCGACCUGCACCUAUAAAACCUACCGAUCCUGCUAACGUGAUUAUGGGCUACAAAGGUAGCUACAGAAAUGUCACAUUCCUCGCUACUACCACGGUCCGGCUAGACAGGGGAUAUCUAUGAGUAUCCUAGCCCAAACAUGACGUUUAAGCUAGAGAUGAUUACUCUAUACUCUACAUGAAGAGAUCAAAGUAAACUCAUAAACCAAAGAACAAUAAAACAAUGAACUUACUAGAAUUUAGAAGUCGAAAUACUGAAGAAUCCUAGGAGCAAGCCUCGGGUUAGGAGGCUUGAUCCCGCAGGUACAACCUCAGAGUAGACACCGACAGGCCGGGCUUCCUCUAAUCUACACCUCCACUCUAUCUCUCUCAAUCUAGAAGAACUAAUUCUAAUCUUAUAUUGGAUGCUAAGCCCUAGGAGAUUGGAACCCUAGAGGGACCCUCUCUCUCUGAAUCCUCUCUGGAAAAUACGCUAAUAAAUAAUGAGAUUGCCCUCCUCUAGGGUCCAGGGGCCAUGCUUAUAUAGCCCUCUCAAAUGCACGUGGGCCGUCGGAUCAAACCGACAUUAAUUGUAUGGUUUUCCUUGAUCCUCAGUGGCGGUGGAGCAUAAUCCGCGAGACUCGUGCUGAUUGGCCACCAUAGGGGGCGGGCGCCCUGGGGGGGCAGGGUAGGCACCCUGCUGCUAGGCCCGCUCAGCCUCCUGCUCGUUCGUGUGGCUUCUGGACUCUUCUAGACCGAGGAAAAUUGGUGCACACGUUAAUAUCUCUAUGUAAAGCCGACGUGUGGGCCUUUCCUCCAUAUUUCCAGAUAACCCCCUGCAGAAAUAGAUAAACAACAAAACUCGUGGAAUUCUGUGAGAUCAAAUCCUAAUUCUAGGUGUUCCUUGCAUAUGGAUCAUUUUCCUUGUUUAUUUGAUGAUUAAAUUAAUACUUAAGGACCGUCAACAGGCUUUGAGGUGCGCUUUCAGACCGGCUUCUCCUUUUUGGUCGUGUCUUUUUAGAUAACUUUUUCACUCUUUUGGCUCUUCUCGUUGUCUGGUGGCUGGAUCCUACUCUGAUCUUUAGAAGUGGAAUAGGAGACUUGGUCAUUUGAGAUUUGACUUACUAGCUAGGUUGAGCUUACUUGACUUAAUCCGAGGAUUGCCCAAGUUGAAAUUUGAGAAGGAUUUGGUUUGUCACCCUUGUCACCAUAAGAAGAUGGUUGCCGUUUCUCAACCCCCUGUGACUGAAGUCAUGACCUGGGACCUAGUGAUGGAUUAUGAGGACGCUACGCUAGCCAGGAAAACAAUUUCGACCUCAUAAAACAGGAUCAACUGCUAGUUAUAGAUUACGGGAUUACCACUAGACGUACAGGUGCAGCGAAAGCAACUUGGUGUAGUCAUGUGCAUAGUAGUAGUGGCAUGCAGUUGCAUGGUCGUCCACCAUGCCAAUCCCUCUCACAGGGUUUGUCCUUGUGCUCCAGAUGCAGCACCUCCGAGGUAUCCCACAUGUGCAAGGAAGUAGCGUUGCGCCUCCAGACUGCUAGGUCCGCGAGGAGCAAUAGACGCGAGCGUGGGAGAGCGACAGUAGCUCCCUAAUGGCAUGAGUUAACCCUAGCUAUGCCCCCUCCCUCUCUUAUAUAGGCAUCCUCCAAUCAGCCCCGAGUUGGAGGCCGAAUUAGAAAACCCUAAGCCUUGUCUAAUUUGGGUCCAACCCGAAUUAGGCUUCAAGCCACUUAAGCGUGCGACCCUAUGGGUUCACGUACAUAUGGACAUGGGCCGAGUACUCUCUACUCACCCAAUAUUUGACAAUGGCCUCUAGCAAGGCAUGACACAACUCCUAUACGCACACAAAGAUCAUAUGAAAUGAACCACUACAAACACAUACAUGUUAUUCCCUUGCCACACGAUAUUUGGUCCAACUCGUGGGUUAACACUUAACGCAAGCACGGCCAUGCAUUUGUUGAUCCAAUCACUUGAGUGAUCCAGUGAUAUCUCUCUCACAUAGAGAGGGGCAAAUUCCAUCUUGAUUAUCUAUGUCUCACAACAUAUUUCCCGAACCCAAAGACCACUUUAUAACUACCUUGUUACGGAGUAGCGUUUAAUAGUCUCUAAGUAGGUCAUUUUACAUAUUGAGAACAUACAACAAUCUCAAGUCUAAGGACAUAACAUACAUGAUGCAUAAAGAGAUAAUAAGAACAUCUCACAUUGGGUUAGUCCAGCCCCAUGUCAUACAUGUGCCCACAUUAUUAAUUUGAUAUCUCUAUGUCUAUUGUUGACGGUCCUUAAGUACCAAAUUUAAUCAUCAAAUAAAUAAAGAAAAGAUCCAAAUGCAACCAACACCCAAACUUAGGGUUUUAUCUAACAGAAUUCCAUGAGUUUUGGUGUUUGUCUAUUUCUGUAGGGGGUUAUCAGGAAAUAUGGAGGAAAGGCCCACACGUCGGGUUUACAUAGAUAUAUUAACGCGUGCGCCAAUUUUCUAUCAUCUAGAAGAGUCCAGAAGCCAUGGGAAUGAGCGAGAGGCUGAGUAGGCCCGGGGACUGGGCGCCUGCCCUCCCCCCUUGGGCGCCCGCCCAGGUGUCUUAGCCAAUUAGGCCCCGCCUCGCGGAUCAUGCUCCACCGACGUAAGGGAUUAAGGAAAACCGUACGAUUAAGGUCGGUUUGAUCUGACGACCCACGUUCAUUUGGAGGGGCUAUAUAAGCAGGCACCCUGGCCACUGGAGGGGGCACCUCUAAGACCCUAAUUCAUUCAUUCAUCUCAGGAGGAGAGUCCCUGAUCAAGCCCUAGAGCCACCACAUCAACUAGAUCUCUAGUUUAGCAUAGCUACAUAGGAUUAGAACUAGAAGGAGUCAAUCUUCGAUAGGUUUCCAGAUCUGUCAAGAGGAUUCUCGGUAAUUCCUCUACUGUUCUUCAUUUUUUCAUCAUUGUUCUUCAAUAUUAUGAAUAUGACUUUGUUCUAUUUCAAUAUAUUGAUUAUGACUUUACUCUACUUGUUUAUAUUUUCAAAUAUAUUGUUCUUAGUUUAUCAUAGUUAUAUGCUAGGCUUCAUUAGAUUGGAAUUAUAUACAUGUUUAGGAACGUAUAGCGUUUAUCCAUGUGUACAGUGGGUAAAUGAUAAAUAUUGUGUAGGCGUGGUGCCUAUACCAUAUUUAUCUGUGAUUGUACCCUAUAUGCCGGAUCGCGGGGUAGUUCACAAUGGUGACAGCUUUGUUAAUUCUUAUAUAGUCCCCCUCCCGUGUAUAGGGUAGGCAGAGCAACAUUAUUAUAGGGGAGUGAUUGCUAUGUUUCUCAUCUUCCUUGAUAAUAUCACUAUGCAUGGGUGUAAUCCUGUCUCGCAAUGAUUGCCAAGUAUAAUUGCACUAACUAUGAUAUGCUAUACUUUAUAGUUAAGAAUAACUUAGGGAAUAUUCUUGUAGUUCAUCCUAAUUCUAUGCUAAUGACAUGCUAGAAUAUCUGUUGAGGUGCUAUUCAAUAUUAUAUGUGGCUAGUUAUGCUGUAGAUUAGUUAUCUUUGUCACCAUUCAUACUUUAUCUAUAUUUUAUGUGUUAUCCCUAUAUGUAUGAGAUAGAUGAAUGCUCUCUAUUACACAUGCAAUGAUAGAUACUCAGUUCCAUAUAUUUCAUUCCAUAAUCAAUAUUGGUGUUAGUAAUCCCUUCCCAGUGGUAAAUUAUAAAUAAUGAUACCUGGAAUACUUCCCGGCUAAAAUGCUACACAGGUAUUAAUUAAUCUGUGCGCUUGCAGAUCAUAUUUAUUAUUUAUUCAGAAGAGCAAUUGCAUAUUUCAAUGCCGCAUCUCUCAUGUCAUGCUGGUGAUGACAACUUGGCUUAAGUGGCAUGAGGGAUAGGUUUGGUAUUUUUGGCGCCGUUACCAGAAUUAGAAAACUAAGUCUACUUUUGGUAAUGAUGUUAAGAAUGCUCAACAAGCAUUUUUGGUGUCGUUACCGGGGAAGGUUGAUUUACUAAUAGGAAUGAAUAAGGAACAAUGAGUCAUCAUUCGCAUCACUAAUAUGAUUGAGAUCAUCAAUUCUCUCGUACGGCUUUACCCCUGUACUUUGCUAUUUUUAUUAUUUUAUGCAGGGUGAUCUAUGAAUAGAAGAAAUCUUUGAGAUAAUUUUGUUGACGACCCCGAAGCAAUAAUCAGAGAAACAAAAGCCAAGCUCAAGAAAGUUAGAUCAUCAACACUUCAGCGUAAAGCUCCAUCAAAUCAAGAAGAUCGCCGAAGUUUCAUCUGGAACUUGUCAUCGGAGUUCGAAGCCAUGGCGAAUAAGUCGAUCCGCGAGUUCUCAGCUCCACCACGGGCAACAUUCGCACUGGACCUGCUGUGGAGAUCGACCGAAACUUUGAGCUCAAACCUGGGCUCAUCAACAUGGUGCAAGCCAACCAGUUCUGUUGGAUGGCGCACGAAGAUGCUAGUGCUCAUCUCCAACCGUUCCUGGAGAUUUGCAGCAUAUUUACCAUGUCAGAAGUCCCCAGAGACGCCAUACUACUUCGUCUCUUCCCAUUCUCACUAUUAGGGAGGGCGAAGCAGUGGUUCUACGCAGCGAAGGAAAAGAAUACUACGUGGGCACUCUGCUCCACGAACUUUCUGGCCAAGUUCUUUCCCAUGGGCACGACCAAUGCUCUCCAUGGGAAGAUUACAAGUUUUCAACAACAACAUGAUGAAUCUGUUCUAGAGGCAUGGGAGUGCUUCCAAGACUACAUCCUAGAAUGUCUCCAUCAUGGAAUAGAGAGCUGGUGGCUGAUGCAGACGUUCUAUCAUGGGCUUGGCAAUAGCGCCCGUGAAACCAUGGAUGCUGCAGCUGGAGGAGCAUUCCUGUCACUCACCAUACCACAAGCCACAGCUCUUGUGGAGAAGAUGGCGUCCAACCAAGGUUGGAAUGAAGAGAGGACCCAGACACGUAAGAAGGGUGGAGGUAUGCACCAGCUCAAGGAGGUAGACAUGCUAUCUGCAAAGCUGGACCUGCUCAUGAAGAAGCUCGAUGAUAAAGCUAGAGACAAGAAAGAAGUGAUGCACGUCUACGACUGUCACAUGACUUAUGAGGAGUGUGGAGAUACAAGACACUCAGGCAAUCACUGCCCUCAGGUGCAUGAGGACGUGAACUACAUCAACAACAACAACUACUACUACUAAAACCGUCCUCAACAAAAUCAUGGUUGGAAUCAACAUAGGCCUAACUACUCAGGUAACUACUCAUGUAAUUAUCAAGGUAAUAAUUCUUACAAUAAUAAUAAUAAUUUUCCACCUUUGAGAGCGUUAGUGUCUAAUCAAGUAAAGCUAAUGGGUAACUUGUCUAAGAAAUUGGCAUCAAAUGACAAAAUGCUAGAAAAUAUAAAUAAUAUAAUGAAUAAUUUUUCUACUACCAUCAAUAACCAGAUUAGCUUUAAUAAAAUGAUUGAAUCUUAGUUGAAUGAAAUAGCUGCUGCGGUUCCUGCUACUAACCCCGGUAUACCAUCACAACAGGAAGGAAUAGAAUCUACAAAUCUUCUGGACAUGUUUGAUGCAGGUAACUACUGGAGUAACCCCGUUGUGGAAGUACAUAAUGACCUUCUGCCGGUCAAGAGAGGCGAUCUAGGAUGCCUUGUCAUCCCGAUCUCCAUCAGCAUGGUGGACUUCCCAGAAGCACUCUGGGACUUUGGCUCCAGCGUCAACAUUAUGCCUAGGGUACUCUAUGAAAAAUUCUUUACACAUCCUUUAUUAGAAACAACCAUGUGUUUGCAGCUUGCAGAUCGGACACUGAGCUUCCCAAAAGGAAUAUUGAAGAACAUCUGUGUCCGAGUUGGCAUCUCGUAUGUCCCAGUGUUGACACUUGCUAACACCACUUGAAUACUAGGUUGUCAUCCCCAGCAUGGCACUAGAGUGUACUAUGGUAUUUAUACACACACAGAUAAUCCGCAAGCGCACGGAUACUGUUGAAGCUUUUACCCGGUUAAAGGUUUUAUCGUAUCCACAGGGAAACGGGAGAACCAACUACGCUCUAACUUAACCAAGAUAGAUAGAUAGGUGUAAAUAGGAAAGAUGAUAGAAUCGAAUAAGAACAAUAUUAAAGGUAAGAUAACAGUGAGUGAUAAUAUGGGAAUAGAGAAUAGAGCAAUUCUAGUAUAUGGGCGAUGGUAGCAGAAUAGAGAGGAUAACUAUGGUUUCUCUACUUCAAAUGGGUAUGUCUAUGUCUGGGACGAACCACGUGAUAAGAGUACACCACAAAGGAUGCUUAUCCAUAGGCCGAUAAACCCCACCCGUCCUGCUAACGAGAGGUGGACUACAGGGGACCAACGUAACUGUCACCUACGCGGCCUACCACACGAUCCAGCUAGUCAGGGGAUAUCCACAAGUAAUCUAGGUCUAAGCACCACGCUUACACCUAUACUACAACUCUAACCUAUAGGGUCCUAUAGAUUAGAAGUACUCAAAAGUGUUGUGAACCAGAACAUACAUGAUUAGUAAUUGCAUAAUGAAUUAGAAGUAGAUUACUAGAGUCAUCCCAUGAGCAAGCUUGAUUAGAGCUUGAUCACGGCGAAGUACAACCGGAGGAAGAAACGAUAGGCCGGCCUCUCCUCUAAUCCUCCUUCGCUCUCCAUCUCGCUACUAUCUAGAUCUACUCUAGUUUAGAGAAGAGAGGAGAGCUCUCAUCUCUAAACCCUAGCUUUUGCUCUGUCUAUGAAUAAUGAAUAAUGAUCAAGGGGUGCCUCCUCCAGGGGCUAGGGGGUCUGGUUUUAUAGUCCCCUCAAGUGAACCUGGGCCGUCGGAUCAAACCGACAUUGAUUGAACGGUUAUUCUUGAUCCUUUAGGUCGGUGGAGCAUAAUCCGCGAGAUUGAGCGUGAUUGGCCGAAAAAGGUGGGCGGGCGCCCUGUCCCUGACUCCGUUCGGUCUCCGCUUCCUUCCCGUGGCUUCUGAAGUCUUCUAGAUGUAAGAUAAUUGCGCGGCACGUUGAUAUCUCUAUGUAAUCCCGACGUGUGGGCCUUUCUUCCUUAUUUCCUGAUAACCCCCUGAAGAAAUAGACAAACACCAAAACUCGUGGAAUUCUGUCAGAUAAAACCCUAAGUCUUGAUGUUGAUUUCAUUUGCAUCCUUUUCUUUGUUUAUUUGAUAGUUAAAUUUGAUACUUAAGGACCGUCAACAAACUCCCCCAAGCUUACCUCUUGCUCGUCCCUGAGUAAGGAUAGACUCAGCUAUGGAUCAUAAGUUGUUGCAAUAUCUUUAAAAAUUGACGGUACACAUGCUUUUAAAUGAGGUCUCAUCUCUGAGUUAGAGUAAACUGUCAAGACUUAAAACUUACUUACUUUACCUUUCACCAUGGGACUUGUAACCGUCACUUCUGUCUUGAGUGGUUAAAAGAUAGAACAGUCCCGUCAAGUGCCAUGUCUCUUAUUCUUGAUCAGCUAUAGCUCUGGAGUUUUUGCAGAUUUUCAAAUAAAACUCAGAGAUUCCUUUGUAUGACUCUCUCAUAUCUCUCUUUUGUGGUAUUUCUGGAUCCUUACCAAGGCAGUGAUGGUAUAUGCCUUCUCUCAAAAUAUGUGGUAUUUGUGGUAUAAGGCAUAGUGACAUUGCCUUCUCUCUCACCCUACUCUAAUAAGGCUUUAAUAUCUGGAGCUCAUAGGUGGGAGAUAAAGUAUACAUACUUACAAGACAUUUAUUGUAUAGUCAAACCAUGGAUCCAAAGAAACAAAUCAAUAAGCCAAAUCAAGAUGUGCAUGUGUGGCGAAUGAAUGGUGUAUAGUGAUGAUGGUGAUAACAAUGGUGAAAGUCUAAUUCUACUUUUGCUCUUAUGAGGGGAUACAUACCUUCCUUGCUUUUUGAAACUUUAUGAGGAGAAUGAGAUGCUCUUCUUUUUCUUUCCUCUGAGGUGGGUAUCUUGUACCCCUAAUUCUACUGUCGGACACUUGUCCAUUUUUACCUCUCGUCUCACUUUUUUUUUCUUUUGAGGUUCCGGGCACUUGCCUCUUUUUAUUUCCUCGUUUAUUAUUAUUUUUUUCUUUUCUUCUCCUUUCUUUUUUUUUCAGAGCACUCAUCUCCUGAAAUAAUGUAGCAAGUGGUAGUAACCAAAAUAACUGGAGCAUUUAUUUCACAGGGAAUAACAGGGAUAGGAAAAUGUUUUUGGCUAUUCUCUCCCGGAUUAGGAGUAGAAUGAUUUUGGGUGAAACUGGAGAUGGAAAUGGAUGGAUAUAUGUGGAUGGUACUUCCGGAGUAGAAGUAGCAUAUAUGAGUGAACGUGCAAGUGAAUCUUGAUUUAACCACAUGACAAGCUCCUAAGGGUCUACACAGCUUGACCACACUCAAUGCUCAUAAGCAGUAAAUAAUAAAUGUGUGGCUCAAAGUCUAGCAAGCAUGUAUAUAUGGCUGUGGUAGGAAUUUAAACUCUCAUCAUACAGGAAUUCAUCAUGCAACAUUUUAAAGAUUUUUAAAGAUAAAAUUCUCCAGAAUUCUAGCAUCUCUUGGAGCAGAUAAACAGCAGCUCAACCUUCCCAUAUCUUAUCCGUUAACAACUUAGAUUUCAGAUCAAGUUUUCAUCCCACAAGUUUAGAUCUAGAGCAAGCUUUAUAUUAUAACAGUUAUGUCUAAACUUGAGAGAGAACUUUAAAUUUGCAAAUUAGGUAGAGCAACUAUUCAUCAUAUCCAUGCUAGAGUUUUAUUAUUAAGAUUCAUAGCAAACUUUAUUUAUUUAUUUAUUUAUUUAUUUAUUUAGCAAACUAAGAAAAGAUAUAUAUAUAUAUAUAUAUAAGCAUAAAAUCUUUAUUUGGUUUUUCAUAGUUUAUGUAUUUUAAUAUUCUAAUAUAAUAUAAGUAUAAAGAUAGGUAGAAAUACUUAGCGAGAUAAAUAGGGGUGCUCUCCCUCAAGCUGAAUUUUGACGUAAUUUCUCUUGAUGUAGCUAGCAGGUGGCAGAGGUGUAUUUGAAAGUCAGCAGCAUUCUGACAGCGAUUAGAAUGUCCUCCAUCUGCUAGUCUUCUUGAUUCUUAAAUUCUGUGGAGCUCAAAUAGACAACAAAGCUUGUGGAACUAAUUAGGUGUUAGCAUAAAUAUCUAGCCUUCAUCACGUUGAGCUUCCUCAAUAAAUAUUACUCCCUGUUUUUAUAUUUUUAUUUUAUAAAGUAAAAAAGAAAUAUUUAUUUUAUUUUUAUGCCACCAUAGUAAAGGUACUUAUGGGUUUUAUGCCACUCGUAUACUCACAUGGGGCUUAGUAUAUAUUUUUUUUAACAUUUUUAUUUUCUUUUCAAGAUAGCAUGAUUAACUAAUAAUCUAUUUAAGGCAAGUAAAUAAUUAAAGGAAAAGGGAAUGCAGAAAGGAUAAAUAUGGAUAACUACCAAUCUUACCUUUCGGCGAGGGUUCAAUGUUUUAAGUCUUCUUGACAAGACUUCUCACCGUGUUCAUUCUUCAGGUGCGUCAUUUGAUUCACUGCACCUUUUAAUACGGUGUCACCCAUGUUCUUCGUUUGCCCAGCAGUUCGAAGUGAGGUGUUAGCAGUAUCUUGCUCAGUGUGUUUGUGCUCGUAGUGUACCUACUCAUAGAGACAAGGCAGAGAUCAAGUGUAUGGGCCCUGUUGGUGGAAAACACCAACAGAACCAAAAGUGUAUUUGUUCUUCUCUAACCUUAAGCAUAGUGAGCAAGACAAAGUUGAUGGAUGAUAAGUUCAUGAGUGUAGCACUUAUAACAUUUGUCAGAUCAGAUCGCUCAACCUUAUGGAAAGAUAAUCUAUCUAUGUAUAUGUCUUUUUCUUUAUAUCUCUCAAUGAUUGAAUGUGUAACAUUUUAGCUUAUAUGAUUAGGAGUGUGGGAUCAUGGAGGUAGUACUAAGAACAAGGAUUAAAGGACUAAACAUGUUGAAUCAGUUGGGUUGGUUAAUCUAGAGUUGUAAAUCAUACACAUUUGUCUCUUUUAUUUAUAUGAAUGCCAGAACCAAGGAGAAGCUUAUAAAAGUGAUAGUCAAGUACCUUAAGAUGUUACCUUGCUUGAUGAGUGAUGGUACAGUAUCAUCUUGUGGAAGCUUUCCUUUCUUAGCGGUUGUGCAUCGUGUUUGUGGCACCCUCCAUGGAUCAUCUCUCUAUGAUGAAUGAGCUAUGUCCUUCUUGUGCAAAUUGUUAAACUUCAUGUGUCACUCUCUUCAUCUCUGAUGUGAGUUUAUCUCAGGACUUCCCAAAUCGAUAUUGAAAGUUUUUCUGCAGGGGUUAGUCCGACAAAAUAUACCAAUAUCUACUCAAGCAGUUUUUUUUUAGUUCAAUAACCAAACUAGACUCCAUGUCUAAUCAGAUUAAGGAAGGCUAUUUAACCUAAGCACCAUGCUUAAUUUAAAUGCCAAUGGAAGUAUGGCGAGUACUUCCAAACCAACACUUGCUAGUAAAUAGACAAAGGUAGCAUGACAGCAUUUAUAGAGAUCUACUCAAGUGGAGAUGAAGUAGUGUGAUUAGUAUUUAACAAAUUGAGCAUGUCUCGACCAGCAUAGCAACAUGGCAAAGGAUGUUUUUAUGUAAAGUACUCCCCCAAGCUUGAAUUUUGCAAAAUUCAAGUUUGGAUGAAUUUAAUUCAAUGUUGUAUGAUGAUUGGUUGGACAUACCUUGUGCUUGUCAUUCAUCCGAUCUUCUUGCUCCAAUCCUAGAAAGGUUAGUGACAAGAAUACCCGAAGGAAUAUUUUUUUACAAUUAUCCUUAUAUGCUCAAUACGCAAGGUAAUGUUGCAAAUAAUUAAAAGCUCAUGUUAUGAUCUGAUCAAUGCUUAUUUUAAGACACUAAGCUUGUCCUUGGGAAACCAUCAGUUUAUGUUGGCGAAGUGGUUUCCCCUCCGACGCCAACCUAUAUCUAGAUCAACUCAACGAGAUCUGCAAUAUUUAUUAUAGACAUAUGCAUCGACAACCGCCCUUUUAAAGUUUUUUAUAAAUAGAAAGGAAGAGGGGGUUGGAGAUCUCAAGUGUGGUGAUGUCGGAGAGACCAGUAGAUUGGGAAGAUGUUGCAUAUGAGCAUGGAGUAAACAAAGUGACUAUGAAAUAAAUUCCAUGCUCAUUAAUGUUAUCUUCAUCUCCAAUCUGAAUGUUCAGAGUUUCUCUUGGAUUGGUCUCACUUAUGUCCUCUUCUAUAGUUGGAUGAAUCUCAUCUUCAAAGGGAGUCAAGAACUCACCAUUUGAAAUUGAGCCAAAGUCAGAAUCUAUUAAGGCUUCUUCCUUAUCCAUCCAUUCUACACAUUCUAGCCAUUUAGAACUUGUGAUCAGGAAAGGGGAGGUGUUAGAAUUUUUAAUAUGGCUUAGCUCUCCUUCACUUGAUAUGUCAUCCUCGACUUCUUCAUAACAGGAAUGAGGACAUUCUCUAAGAGAAACAUUAUUGCAAUGAUUUGAAUUAUCCCUGCUUGAAGGUCUCUUAUAGAACUAGAAGUCUAAACCAUCAGCAUCUAAAAGAUUUAAGGUCAGAAUUCCUUCCUCCCUUGGAGAAUUUUGGGGUAUUGAUGGUUUAGGAUCGAUAGCUAAAGUUUGGGAUUGAAGUGGUUGUAAUCUGGCUAUCGAAACUUCUUCUUCUUGUCUAGGAACUGGUUCUUUCUCUUUCUCAGGGAUAUAAAAGCUAGGAGACUUUCCGCUCAUUAAAUCAACCAAAUUCCAAGCUUCACUAGCGGAUAGGUGGUGGAAAGAUCCUCCAGAGGCAGCAUGAAGGGUUUGCUUAUUUUUCCUACUAAGGGCCUGAAAAAAGUGAAUUAGAAGAACUUCUUCUGGAAUAGAAAGUUUUAGGCCAGUGAGAGUAAGGUUAAUAAAGCGGUCCCAUGAUUUGCCAAGAGAUUCUUCUUCCAGUUGUCUAAAAGAACGAAUCUCACGCCGAAGUUCCACCACUUUGGAGAUUGGAAAAUAUUUAGAAAGAAAACUACUAUAUAACUCCUUCCAAUCUCCAUGAACACUCCCUACUUUGAGUUUAUACCAAUGUCUAGCUUUUCCCGUUAAAGAGAACGGAAAGAGCUUCCAUUUAAGGGUCUCAUGGGACAUGCCUUCUAUGCGAAGGAGGUCACAGACUCGAUAAAACUCUCUUAGGUGUGUGUAUGGGUUUUCCUCACCUUCUCGUGAGAAAGGUUGUUUUUGAAUAAAUUCUAUGUAUUCGGGGUCUAUCUCAAAACUAGAUGCUAUGAUAGGCUUUGAAGAUUUUGGUGGUUCGAGAUGUGUGCCCAUAGAUCUAUGAAAUUCAUAGAUAGACAUGUUUGAAUUCAUAAUAGACCAGAGAUCAAGGAUUAGAUAAGAAGAAAGAAUAGCAGAGAUGAGGCAAAGGAUAAAAGGAAAGUAUUUUUUUUGUUAUAUAUAUAUAUUUUUUUUAUAAAAUGAUUAAACUAGUUCGUAGUCAACUCAGCAACCGUUUCCCCGGCAACGGCGCCAAAAAUGCUUGUUGACACUUGCUAACACCACUUGAAUACUAGGUUGUCAUCCCCAGCAUGGCACUAGAGUGUACUAUGGUAUUUAUACGCACACAGAUAAUCCGCAAGCGCACGGAUACCAUUGAAGCUUUUAUCCGGUUAAAGGUUUUAUCGUAUCCACAGGGAAACGGGAGAACCAACUACGCUCUAACUUAACCAAGAUAGAUAGAUAGGUGUAAAUAGGAAAGAUGAUAGAAUCGAAUAAGAACAAUAUUAAAGGUAAGAUAACAGUGAGUGAUAAUAUGGGAAUAGAGAAUAGAGCAAUUCUAGUAUAUGGGCGAUGGUAGCAGAAUAGAGAGGAUAACUAUGGUUUCUCUACUUUAAAGGGGUAUGUCUAUGUCUGGGACGAACCACGUGAUAAGAGUACACCACAAAGGAUGCUUAUCCAUAGGCCGAUAAACCCUACCUGUCCUACUAACGAGGGGUGGACUACAGGGGACCAACGUAACUGUCACCUACGCGGCCUACCACACGAUCCAGCUAGUCAGGGGAUAUCCACAAGUAAUCUAGGUCUAAGCACCACGCUUACACCUAUACUACAACUCU